GCGCACGCUGGCGGCAGGCCUAACACAUGCAAGUCGAACGGAUCCUUCGGGAUUAGUGGCGGACGGGUGAGUAACACGUGGGAACGUGCCCUUUGGUUCGGAACAACUCAGGGAAACUUGAGCUAAUACCGGAUGUGCCCUUCGGGGGAAAGAUUUAUCGCCAUUGGAGCGGCCCGCGUCUGAUUAGCUAGUUGGUGAGGUAACGGCCCACCAAGGCGACGAUCAGUAGCUGGUCUGAGAGGAUGAUCAGCCACACUGGGACUGAGACACGGCCCAGACUCCUACGGGAGGCAGCAGUGGGGAAUCUUGCGCAAUGGGCGAAAGCCUGACGCAGCCAUGCCGCGUGAAUGAUGAAGGUCUUAGGAUUGUAAAAUUCUUUCAGCGGGGACGAUAAUGACGGUACCCGCAGAAGAAGCUCCGGCUAACUUCGU
rnacentral:rRNA from 1 species